rnacentral:siRNA from 1 species
GCUGCAUACCGCUCCUCGUCAAU